CCUCCCCCCUGCACUCCUCUCUCUUCCUCCCUCCCACCUCCCUCGCUCCCGCCCUCCCUGCUGCAUUUUGCAUGAGCUAUCUAGGUCAUUAGCAUUUUAGCGUAUGCAAGACUUGACAAAGCUGAUGAGGGGCCAGAUGGGCCUCGCUCUUAUGGUUUUUUUUUCUUCUUCUUCUUCUUCCUCUCUCUCUCUCUCUCUCUCUCUGUCUCUCUCUCUCGUCUCUCUUCCUUUCCCCCCUCCACCACUUGGGACCUGAGCGAGAGGACUGCAGCAGGCGAGUUCCGGAAGGCUGAAUCCCCAGGUCCCAGCCCCGGACCGCGGCAACUCGCCCCUGCGGCACGCCCGGCCCGGCUGCGCCCCCACUCAGCGAUGGAGCAGUUCCGUAACAACCUGCGCAGUGUCGGCAUCAGAACCGAAUGCAGAGAAAACAAUACGUCAGAGCUGCUGGCUUGGACUGCGGCCCCUACAGAUGAAGCCCGAGCCUUCUACUCCUACCUCAGCAUCUUG
rnacentral:lncRNA from 1 species